GACGAACGCUGGCGGCGUGCCUAAUACAUGCAAGUCGAACGAGAGCAACCGGUGCUUGCACUGGUCAAUCUAGUGGCGAACGGGUGAGUAACACGUGGGUAACCUGCCCAUCAGAGGGGGAUAACAUCCGGAAACGGAUGCUAAAACCGCAUAGGUCUUCGAACCGCAUGGUUUGAAGAGGAAAAGAGGCGCAAGCUUCUGCUGAUGGAUGGACCCGCGGUGCAUUAGCUAGUUGGUGAGGUAACGGCUCACCAAGGCCGUGAUGCAUAGCCGACCUGAGAGGGUAAUCGGCCACAUUGGGACUGAGACACGGCCCAAACUCCUACGGGAGGCAGCAGUAGGGAAUCUUCCGCAAUGGACGCAAGUCUGACGGAGCAACGCCGCGUGAGUGAAGAAGGUUUUCGGAUCGUAAAACUCUGUUGUUAGAGAAGAACAAGUGCUAGAGUAACUGUUAGCGCCUUGACGGUAUCUAACCAGAAAGCCACGGCUAACUACGU
rnacentral:rRNA from 1 species